UACGUAGGGUGCGAGCGUUGUCCGGAAUUACUGGGCGUAAAGGGCUCGUAGGCGGCCAACUAAGUCCGACGUGAAAUCCCCAGGCUUAACCUGGGAACUGCGUCGGAUACUGGAUGGCUUGAAUCCGGGAGAGGGAUGCGGAAUUCCAGGUGUAGCGGUGAAAUGCGUAGAUAUCUGGAGGAACACCGGUGGCGAAGGCGGCAUCCUGGACCGGCAUUGACGCUGAGGAGCGAAAGCCAGGGGAGCAAACGGG
rnacentral:rRNA from 1 species